rnacentral:rRNA from 1 species
CGCGUAGGUGGUUCAGUCAGUCAGAUGUGAAAGCCCCGGGCUCAACCUGGGAAUUGCACCUGACACUGCUGAGCUAGAGUACGGUAGAGGGUAGUGGAAUUUCCGGUGUAGCGGUGAAAUGCGUAGAGAUCGGAAGGAACACCAGUGGCGAAGGCGACUACCUGGACCGAUACUGACACUGAGGUGCGAAAGCGUGGGUAGCAAACA